rnacentral:lncRNA from 10 species
GAAAAUUGCCGAACCCCUCUGUGAGUCAGUUGCCUCAUACACAAAAUAGAAUUAAUGAAGCUUGGUUGUCAUUAAGGCUUCUUAAGAUCUGCAGAUGAAAGAUACUGCAUUCAUCCAACACAAAUUAUUCACCAGUAUACUAUGAAAGACUCUCAGAAGAGAAAGCUCUGGUCACAGCUCAGAAGUGCACUUAGAAGUAAAUGGCCACUUCCAGCAUCGAUGGUGUCAGGUCAGGUCCUCUGGGUAGAAGAAAUGGAGUCAGUUAGGAGUGCUGGAGACUGAGUAAGAGGUGGCAGCUGAGGCUUACUACCCCAGGAAAGGGAUGCCACCAGAGAAGGCAGACAACCAAGAUGGCGACUCUCAAUUUUUGAGCUCCUAAUUUUCUCAUGUCAGACAUAAGAAAAAAAAAUAUUUUUUAAAGAAAAAGCUUUAGGUUGCAAAAAUCUAGGCCUUUCAACUUUAAAAUCCUAUUCUUGCAAGCCUUGGAGAAUAAAGCUUAUGCAUAAACAGUAGAUUUGGAAACAGAAAUAUGCCUAAUUACCCAGAGCCAUUCUUUCAAUACGCCAGUGAUUGUUUAAAGAUUCUAUAGGCUGGAGUCAAUGGCAGGAGGCGGGUGGGAAAAGAGUCAAGAGGGAGGAGAGAAGAAGCAAGAGGGUUGGGUAGAUAUUGUCACAUGACCCUGAGAGGAGGAUUCUGGGUCAAACCCCUAGGGGGUUGUGUGUAAUGGAGACUCCAGAUCCAUUUGGGAAUCUGGCUCCAAAGAAGACUUCACCUUGCCUUCUGAGUGGAGCCCUGAAGUGGCAAGACUCAUAGAAUUCCCCCACGGGUCCACACAAGAGAGAAUGAAUAGAGAAGGCUGCGUGCUGGCUGGACCAAGGCAGCCUCGGGUGACACCACCACCACCACCGCCGCUGCCGCCAUCGCCAUCACCACUGCCGCUGCCAUCACCGCCACCACCACCACCAUCACCACCACCAUCACCACAUUAUGGACAAUAGCCCAAUGUUUCCUGAGUUCCCUAGAGGGUUGAAAGAGAAUAGGACCUAGAGAGAUCACAUAGUUGGGACAGGCACUCAUUAAUUUGAUCCAAUGACAAGAGACCAGAUGGGAAGAAGGAUGCCUUGAGAGAUGUCAGUGUGCACCCAUGGAUAGAAGCAGCUGGUGACUGGGUACUUGGGAAGCCACAUGGACACACACAAAGCUCCUGGAAGACGUUUUCAAGGAGUUGGGCUGUGCUGGGAUCCAGAACUGGCUGAAGAAACCAUGAGCUGACAUAAAAUUUCUGCCACCUAGCAGAAUGGAGGCUCCAUUUGGAAAUUAAAUUAUAUACUUAAAAAAACUAUAAUUGCUUCAUUUCUUUUUUUUGAGAUGGAGUUUCACUCUUGUUGCCCAGGCUGUAGUGCAAUGGCACCAUCUCAGCUCACUGCAAACUCCGCUCCCGGGUUCAAGAGGUGAUCCUGCCUCAGCCUCCCGAGUAGCUAGGAUUACAGGUGUGCGGCCACCAUGCCCCGCUAAUUUUGUAUUUUCAGUAGAGACGGGGUUUUACCAUGUUGGUCAAGCUGGUCUCAAACUCCUG